GGUUAAGUGACUAAGCGUACAUGGUGGAUGCCUUGGCAGUCAGAGGCGAUGAAGGACGUACUAACCUGCGAUAAGCCGUGAGCAGUCGGUAAGAGACAUUACGACUCACGGAUUUCCGAAUGGGGAAACCCACUUAGCAUAAGCUAGGUAUCGCUGCGUGAAUACAUAGCGUAGCGAGGCGAACCGGGAGAACUGAAACAUCUAAGUACCCCGAGGAAAAGAAAUCAACCGAGAUUCCCUCAGUAGCGGCGAGCGAACGGGGAUUAGCCCUUAAGCAUCUUGGAAGUUAGUGGAACGGUCCUGGAAAGGCCGGCGAUACAGGGUGAUAGCCCCGUACACGAAAACAACCUUGAUGUGAAAUCGAGUAGGGCGGGACACGUGACAUCCUGUCUGAAUAUGGGGGGACCAUCCUCCAAGGCUAAAUACUCCUGACUGACCGAUAGUGAACCAGUACCGUGAGGGAAAGGCGAAAAGAACCCCUGUGAGGGGAGUGAAAUAGAACCUGAAACCGUGUACGUACAAGCAGUGGGAGCCCUUCGGGGUGACUGCGUACCUUUUGUAUAAUGGGUCAGCGACUUACAUUUUGUAGCGAGGUUAACCGUAUAGGGGAGCCGUAGGGAAACCGAGUCUUAACUGGGCGUCUAGUUGCAAGGUGUAGACCCGAAACCGGGUGAUCUAGCCAUGGGCAGGUUGAAGGUUGAGUAACAUCAACUGGAGGACCGAACCCACUAACGUUGCAAAGUUAGGGGAUGACCUGUGGCUGGGGGUGAAAGGCCAAUCAAACUCGGAGAUAGCUGGUUCUCCCCGAAAGCUAUUUAGGUAGCGCCUCGGACGAAUACUAUUGGGGGUAGAGCACUGUUUGGGCUAGGGGGUCAUCCCGACUUACCAACCCCAUGCAAACUCCGAAUACCAGUAAGUAAUAUCCGGGAGACACACGGCGGGUGCUAACGUCCGUCGUGAAGAGGGAAACAACCCAGACCGCCGGCUAAGGUCCCAAAGUUCUGGUUAAGUGGGAAACGAUGUGGGAAGGCUCAGACAGCUAGGAUGUUGGCUUAGAAGCAGCCAUCAUUUAAAGAAAGCGUAAUAGCUCACUAGUCGAGUCGGCCUGCGCGGAAGAUGUAACGGGGCUCAAACCAGGCACCGAAGCCGCGGAUUCACACUAAGUGUGAGUGGUAGGGGAGCGUUCUGUAAGUCUGCGAAGGUGUGUCGAGAGGCAUGCUGGAGAUAUCAGAAGUGCGAAUGCUGACGUAAGUAACGAUAAAGGGGGUGAAAAGCCUCCUCGCCGGAAGACCAAGGGUUCCUGUCCAACGUUAAUCGGGGCAGGGUGAGUCGACCCCUAAGGCGAGGCCGAAAGGCGUAGUCGAUGGGAAGCAGGUUAAUAUUCCUGCACGACUUGUAAUUGCGAUGGGGGGACGGAGAAGGCUAGGUGGGCCAGGCGACGGUUGUCCUGGUGAAAGUGCGUAGGUGGUGUUUCUAGGCAAAUCCGGAGACACAACACUGAGACACGAGACGAACACACUACGGUGUGGAAGCCAUUGAUGCCCUGCUUCCAGGAAAAGCCUCUAAGCUUCAGAUUACAAGUCAUCGUACCCCAAACCGACACAGGUGGUCGGGUAGAGAAUACCAAGGCGCUUGAGAGAACUCGGGUGAAGGAACUAGGCAAAAUAGAACCGUAACUUCGGGAGAAGGUUCGCUCUUGACAGUGAAGUCCCUUGCGGAUGGAGCAGUUGGGAGUCGCAGUGACCAGAUGGCUGGGACUGUUUAUCAAAAACACAGCACUCUGCAAACACGAAAGUGGACGUAUAGGGUGUGACACCUGCCCGGUGCCGGAAGGUUAAUUGAUGGGGUUAGCGCAAGCGAAGCUCUUGAUCGAAGCCCCGGUAAACGGCGGCCGUAACUAUAACGGUCCUAAGGUAGCGAAAUUCCUUGUCGGGUAAGUUCCGACCUGCACGAAUGGUGUAACCAUGGCCAUGCUGUCUCCACCCGAGACUCAGUGAAAUCGAAUUCGCCGUGAAGAUGCGGUGUACCCGCGGCUAGACGGAAAGACCCCGUGAACCUUUACUACAGCUUGGCACUGAACAUUGAACCUACAUGUGUAGGAUAGGUGGGAGGCUUUGAAGGCGUGACGCCAGUUGCGCUGGAGCCGUCCUUGAAAUACCACCCUUGUAUGUUUGAUGUUCUAACGCAGGCCCGUGAAUCCGGGUCGCGGACAGUGCCUGGUGGGUAGUUUGACUGGGGCGGUCUCCUCCCAAAGAGUAACGGAGGAGCACGAAGGUUGGCUAAUCCUGGUCGGACAUCAGGAGGUUAGUGCAAUGGCAUAAGCCAGCUUAACUGCGAGACGGACAGGUCGAGCAGGUACGAAAGUAGGUCAUAGUGAUCCGGUGGUUCUGAAUGGAAGGGCCAUCGCUCAACGGAUAAAAGGUACUCCGGGGAUAACAGGCUGAUACCGCCCAAGAGUUCAUAUCGACGGCGGUGUUUGGCACCUCGAUGUCGGCUCAUCACAUCCUGGGGCUGAAGUCGGUCCCAAGGGUAUGGCUGUUCGCCAUUUAAAGUGGUACGCGAGCUGGGUUCAGAACGUCGUGAGACAGUUCGGUCCCUAUCUGCCGUGGGCGUUGGAUGAUUGAAGGGAGUUGCUCCUAGUACGAGAGGACCGGAGUGAACGAACCUCUGGUGUUCGGGUUGUCACGCCAGUGGCACUGCCCGGUAGCUAAGUUCGGAAUCGAUAACCGCUGAAAGCAUCUAAGCGGGAAGCGAGCCCUGAGAUGAGUCAUCCCUGACCCCUUGAGGGUCCUAAAGGGCCGUUGGAGACCACAACGUUGAUAGGUGGGGUGUGUAAGCGCGGCGACGUGUUGAGCUAACCCAUACUAAUUACCCGUGAGGCUUAACCAU
rnacentral:rRNA from 1 species